UGCCAGCGUUGUAUACUGUACUAAAGUGCGAGAGCCUUUGGGAAAUAUGCAUCGCUGCUGACU
rnacentral:rRNA from 1 species